GAAAGAGAAAGAGGAGCGGAAGAAACAGCAGGAGAAGGAAGACAAGGAUGAAAAGAAGAAGGGGGAGGAUGAAGACAAAGGUCCUCCCUGUGGCCCAGUGAACUGCAAUGAAAAGAUUGUGGUCCUUCUGCAGCGCUUGAAGCCUGAGAUCAAGGAUGUCAUUGAGCAGCUCAACCUGGUCACCACCUGGUUGCAGCUGCAGAUACCUCGGAUUGAGGAUGGUAACAAUUUUGGAGUGGCUGUCCAGGUGAGAGCACUGCCCCACUUCCCUGCUUUUUUCUAGUCCAUGCUUCCUUCCACUUUCCCCCUUGCUUUUUUUCCCUAGGAGAAGGUGUUUGAGCUGAUGACCAGCCUCCACACCAAGCUAGAAGGCUUCCACACUCAAAUCUCUAAGUAUUUCUCUGAGCGUGGUGAUGCAGUGACUAAAGCAGCCAAGCAGCCCCAUGUGGUAGGUGAGGCCCAGGUCAGGGUGCAUGGGGGAAGGACACAUGUAAGGUCAGGCCUGACCCGAGCUUCCCACAGGGUGAUUAUCGGCAGCUGGUGCACGAGCUGGAUGAGGCAGAGUACCGGGACAUCCGGCUGAUGGUCAUGGAGAUCCGCAAUGCUUAUGCUGUGUUAUAUGACAUCAUCCUGAAGAACUUCGAGAAGCUCAAGAAGCCCAGGGGAGAAACAAAGGGAAUGAUCUAUUGAGAGCCCUCUCUCCCAUUCUGUGAUGAGUACAGCAGAGACCUUCCUGCUUUUUACUGGGGACUCCAGAUUUUCCCCAAACUUGCUUCUGUUGAGAUUUUUCCCUCACCUUGCCUCUCAGGCACAAUAAAUAUAGUUAUACCACU
rnacentral:sRNA from 1 species